rnacentral:rRNA from 1 species
ACGCCGGCGGCGUGCCUAAUACAUGCAAGUGGGACGCAAGGAAACACACUGUGCUUGCACACCGUGUUUUCUUGAGUCGCGAACGGGUGAGUAACGCGUAGGUAACCUGCCUAUUAGCGGGGGAUAACUAUUGGAAACGAUAGCUAAUACCGCAUAAUAUUAAUUAUUGCAUGAUAAUUGAUUGAAAGAUGCAAGCGCAUCACUAGUAGAUGGACCUGCGUUGUAUUAGCUAGUUGGUAAGGUAAGAGCUUACCAAGGCGACGAUACAUAGCCGACCUGAGAGGGUGAUCGGCCACACUGGGACUGAGACACGGCCCAGACUCCUACGGGAGGCAGCAGUAGGGAAUCUUCGGCAAUGGACGAAAGUCUGACCGAGCAACGCCGCGUGAGUGAAGAAGGUUUUCGGAUCGUAAAGCUCUGUUGUAAGUCAAGAACGUGUGUGAGAGUGGAAAGUUCACACAGUGACGGUAGCUUACCAGAAAGGGACGGCUAACUACGUGCCAGCAGCCGCGGUAAUACGUAGGUCCCGAGCGUUGUCCGGAUUUAUUGGGCGUAAAGGGAGCGCAGGCGGUCAGGAAAGUCUGGAGUAAAAGGCUAUGGCUCAACCAUAGUGUGCUCUGGAAACUGUCUGACUUGAGUGCAGAAGGGGAGAGUGGAAUUCCAUGUGUAGCGGUGAAAUGCGUAGAUAUAUGGAGGAACACCAGUGGCGAAAGCGGCUCUCUGGUCUGUCACUGACGCUGAGGCUCGAAAGCGUGGGUAGCGAACAGGAUUAGAUACCCUGGUAGUCCACGCCGUAAACGAUGAGUGCUAGGUGUUAGGCCCUUUCCGGGGCUUAGUGCCGGAGCUAACGCAAUAAGCACUCCGCCUGGGGAGUACGACCGCAAGGUUUGAACUCAAAGGAAUUGACGGG